rnacentral:rRNA from 1 species
UACGUAGGGGGCUAGCGUUGUCCGGAAUCAUUGGGCGUAAAGCGCGCGUAGGCGGCCCAGUAAGUCCGUUGUAAAAGUCGAAGGCUCAACCUUUGAAAGCCGAUGGAUACUGCUGGGCUAGAGUCCGGAAGAGGCGAGUGGAAUUCCUGGUGUAGCGGUGGAAUGCGCAGAUAUCAGGAGGAACACCGAUAGCGAAGGCAGCUCGCUGGGACGGUACUGACGCUGAGGCGCGAAAGCGUGGGGAGCGAACAGG